UACAGAGGUCUCAAGCGUUGUUCGGAUUCAUUGGGCGUAAAGGGUGUGUAGGUGGCGCGCUAAGUCGGGUGUGAAAUUUCGGAGCUUAACUCUAAAACUGCAUUCGAUACUGGCGUGCUUGAGGACUGGAGAGGAGACUGGAAUUCAUGGUGUAGCAGUGAAAUGCGUAGAGAUCAUGAGGAAGACCAGUGGCGAAGGCGGGUCUCUGGACAGUUCCUGACACUGAGACACGAAGGCCAGGGGAGCAAACGGG
rnacentral:rRNA from 1 species